rnacentral:misc_RNA from 1 species
GAUGAAGAACGCAGCGAAAUGCGAUACGUAAUGUGAAUUGCAGAAUUCAGUGAAUCAUCGAAUCUUUGAACGCACAUUGCGCCCGCGAGUAUUCUCGCGGGCAUGCCUGUCCGAGCGUCAUUUCAACCCUCAGGGCCCGCCUGCUUGCAGGCGCGGCGCUGGUGUUGGGGAUCGGCUACCCUGCCGUCCCCCAAAUACAGUGGCGGUCUCGCUGCAGCCUCCCCUGCGUAGUAGCAACACUCGCAUGCGGAGCGCGGCGCGGCCACGCCGUAAAACCCCCGACUUUCUGAACGUUGACCUCGGAUCAGGUAGGAAUACCCGCUGAACUUAAGCAUAUCAAUAAGCGGAGGA